GCAACCCUUCCACCUCAGCCUCUUGCGUAGCUGGGACCACAGGAAAAACCAGGCCAUACAGAGACGGGAGCUGAGGGGACAUAGUAAGAAGUAACCAGAAGACAAGAAUGCGAGCCUUCUGUAAUGCCUGGGUAGGGCCACCAGAGGGCGCCUUGGUCUAGCAGUAAUGCCAGCGUCUGGGAAGAUGCCCGUUGCCAAGUGGACUGUGGUCUAGCGGUAGCGUCAAUGUCAAGGAAAAACACCCGCUACUUAGCAGACCGGGAAAGGGAGUCUCCCUUUCCCUGGAGGAGUUCAGAGAGGACUCCACUCCUUCACCUCUUGUGGAGGUCAGGCCCACCUGCAGUUAUCCGGAGGCCUAACCGUCUCCCUGUGAUGCUGUGCUUCAGCGGCCACACUCCUAGUCCGCUUUCAUGUUCCAUCCUGUACACCUGGCUCUGCCUUUUAGAUAGCAGUAGCAAAUUAGUGAAAGUACUAAAAGUCUGUGAUAUGCAGAAAUAAUAGUGUAAGCUGUCUCCCUCUCUCUCCUAUCUUUCUCUCUGUCUCGGCUGCCAGGCAGGGAAGGGCCCUCUGUCCAGUGGACACGUGACCCAUGUGACCUUACCUAUCAUUGGAGAUGGCUCUCACUCCUUACCCUGCCCCUUUGUCUGGUAUCCAAUAAAUAUCAGUGCAACCUGGCAUUUGGGGCCACUGCCAGUCUCCGUGUCUUGAUGGUAGUGGUCCCCCAGGCCCAACUGUCUUUUCUUUUA